rnacentral:rRNA from 1 species
UACGUAGGGUGCAAGCGUUGUCCGGAAUCAUUGGGCGUAAAGAGCUCGUAGGCGGUCUGUCGCGUCUGCUGUGAAAACCUGGGGCUUAACCCCGGGCCUGCAGUGGGUACGGGCAGACUAGAGUGCGGUAGGGGAGACUGGAAUUCCUGGUGUAGCGGUGAAAUGCGCAGAUAUCAGGAGGAACACCGGUGGCGAAGGCGGGUCUCUGGGCCGUAACUGACGCUGAGGAGCGAAAGCAUGGGUAGCGAACAGG